UACGAACUGUGCGAACGUUAUUCGGAAUCACUGGGCUUACAGGGUGCGUAGGCGGCUUGUUAAGUAGGGUGUGAAAGCCCCCGGCUCAACCGGGAAUGGCGCCCUAAACUGGCGAGCUAGAGUGAGAUAGGGGUGUGUGGAACUUCCGGUGGAGCGGUGAAAUGUGUUGAUAUCGGAAGGAACGCCGGUGGCGAAAGCGACACACUGGAUCUUGUCUGACGCUGAGGCACGAAAGCCAGGGGAGCGAACGGG
rnacentral:rRNA from 1 species